AUGGCACCGAAAUCUCGAAAGGCUCAUGGGGAAGCAGGACCUGACUGCAGUGUAAUGAAAUGGCAAAAGGCAGAAAGGCUCAUUUCAGAAUGCUUUGAGUUGGAAAUGCCCACUGUUCUUCACAGUGAAAGCUUCAUUUUUGUGUGUAAAAGAUUGGAAAGCACCAUCUGGGACACAUCGUAUGUUCCUGUUUCUUCAAGAGAAUCUGGAAUUAUACUUUUGAGACUUUGUUGCUAAUGAAGGAGACAAAGGGAAAAAGAAUCUUCCAUAAAUUACACCUGGUCCAUUGGUGCGUUUCUUGUAAAAAUUAAAAUGAAAUGAGAGAAUGGCUAUUAGAGUACAACCUUAUAUCUGGAAGGGUAUCAUUAAUAUUUUUGACAUUUUAUGUUUAAAAAUUGUGAGCUUUUAUUUAGAUAUCUUGUUUGGUCACAUUCUUGGUAUUGCUAGUUGGAUAAGGAACAUUCAGGAAAAUGUGCCUAGGACAAACAUUGAACUUAUGCUUGGGAAAGCUCCUACUUGGUGUAGUCUUUAGUGAAAUUACUCAUCUCCCAUGUGUAAUCAAGCAGAAAGGAGAGCCUCUUGUUGUCUGUCUCCCUCCUUCCCCAUAGAAAACUCUCCUUGACCUGGCCAGUAACUUCCUUUUUAAAGAAGAUACCCCAGAUUGGUUUCUGUUAUUUACAACUAAGAACUCUGAGUUACAUAGAAAUUUUCAGAGCAAAAUAUUUAAUUUCCUGUUCCAGCACCCAGAACAGUUCACUGGUACAUAGUUGGUACAAAAAAAGUUUUAUUCACUACUUGACCUAAAUAUUCAGUUAUUUAUGAGCACCUACUACAUAACUAGUCUUGGGACUAUCACAGUAAAUACAACAGAAGCAUACCUGGCUCUGAGGUUUAUAUUCAGGUAUGAAAAUGGACAAACACACAAACAUAUCAUAUAUUAGGUAGGGAUAUAUGCUAUGAAAAAAUGCAUUAAAGUGAAUAAAGCAGGAUAAGAGGAUGGGCUGCUAGGUUUU
rnacentral:lncRNA from 1 species